rnacentral:SRP_RNA from 1 species
GCUGGGCAUGGUGGCUCAUGCUUGUAAUCCCAGCACUUUGGGAGGCUGAGGCGGGUGGGUCACCUGAGGUCAGGAGUUUGAGACCAGCCUGGCCAACAUGGUGAAACCCCGUCUCUA